rnacentral:misc_RNA from 1 species
AGUCGUCCCACUCGCCUCAACCGCGUCCACGACAAGUGGGGGCGACUGUGACGUCGUGGUGCAACGGCUCGCCGCGAAUCGCCGGGUCCAGAGGUCAAGACUUGCUUAUGCGCACCGGCCGCGCGCACGCGUUCUUUAGUUCUUAUAUGUACUUAAACCUUAAUUCUUAUUUGCUUAAUCGUAUUACCUAUAUUGUUAUUCUUAAAAAUCAUUAUACGUAUUCACAUAUUAUACAGUCCACGCUUAUUAUUUACUCCACCUGCUGAGCUAUCGUCGCAACAUAUGGUCCUUCUCCCAAGAAAAAUUGAACUGGACAAAGAAGACAAAGGACUUUGGUGAACGUCGACCACGUCAUCGAGUGACUCAGUGAAUAUUAUCAAGUUUCUUCGCUGUGAACAUUGUUACGUCGUGAUAUAUCGGCACGGCUUGAGACUUUUCGGCCGUCUUAGCUGACGUCACCCAACUGACACGAGAAGAAACGGAAUUUGGGCUACUAAUUAUUCGUCAUCAUAACGGACAGCAAAUACACGUGUUCAGAUUGUCGUCGUGCAUUGAGAUAUCUGACAAGAAUACUCCUCGGCGCAGUCAUCACCAGUGGUUUGCACCGGAAAACAGCCGACAUGGAAGAGAUGGUGGACGACCCUAGCGAGCAAUAUGCGGAGCGUGAGGAGUUCGAAAAGCAGUACUACAGCUUGGUGGCUGCAGCACGUCAGCUGAUCAGCAAUGCUCGCAAGCAGGCUUCAGGGAACUCCAUAGCCGAGCGCUGGUGAAUGUGUCGGAUGCUGAAGGCAACGCUCACACCGCGCGAAUCCUGCUGGAUAACGGGAGUACGACUAACCUUAUAUCACAGGAGUUGGCUCGUAGACUUAAUAUUUCCACCUAUACAGUCGAGUCUAAGGUCCAGAACGCUAACGUGAACAACUUGCAGCGGUUCCGUCGCAUCGAAUGUUUAAAGCAACAUUUCUGGUCACGCUUCUCACAUGAGUACAUUUUGUGGCUCCAACAACGAACCAAAUGGCUCCGAUCGUCAGGGGAACUUACAGAAGGAACCCUUGUCGUCAUUAAGGAUAAAAGCUCACCUCCUCUGUUAUGGCUUUUAGGACGGAUCGUUAAGGUGCUUCCUGGUCGAGACGGCAUUGCACGAGUCGCCGACAUCCGCACACGUAAGGGUGUCAUUCGGCGAGCGUUUAACACAAUUUGCCCGUUACCCGUCGCCACUGCUGUUGAAGACACUUCAACGGGGGGAGUAUGUUGAGUCGUCCCACUCGCCUCAACCGCGUCCACGACAAGUGGGGGCGACUGUGACGUCGUGGUGCAACGGCUCGCCGCGAAUCGCCGGGUCCAGAGGUCAAGACUUGCUUAUGCGCACCGGCCGCGCGCACGCGUUCUUUAGUUCUUAUAUGUACUUAAACCUUAAUUCUUAUUUGCUUAAUCGUAUUACCUAUAUUGUUAUUCUUAAAAAUCAUUAUACGUAUUCACAUAUUAUACA